rnacentral:rRNA from 1 species
GGUUAAGCUAUUAAGAGCGCACGAUGGAUACCUAGGCGCAAGCAGCCGAAGAAGGACGCAGCAAACAGCGAAAUGUCACGAGUAGUCGUUGCAGACUAAGAUCCGUGAGAAUCCGAAUGGGGCAACCCCGCUGAGUUAAUGUCAGCGAUGUCAGACUGAAUUCAUAGGUCUGUGCAAGGUAAGUCAGGGAACUGAAACAUCUUAGUACCUGGAAGAAAAUAAAACAAAACAGUGAUUCCGUCAGUAGCGGCGAGUGAACGCGGAACAGCCCAAACCAUUAAGACGCAAGUCUUAGUGGGGUUGAGGGACUCUAUAACGAAAUGGGAAGUGCGUAGUUGAAACUGUCUGGAAAGCAGUACCAUAGACGGUGAUAGUCCGGUAAACGAAACGUUCUGAACUUCAAGAGUAUCCCAAGUAAUACGGGACACGAGAAAUCCUGUAUGAAUCCGCCGGGACCAUCCGGUAAGGCUAAAUACUGACUUGCGACCGAUAGUGAACAAGUACCGCGAGGGAAAGGUGAAAAGAACCCCGGGCAGGGGAGUGAAAUAGAAUAUGAAAUCGUGUGCUUACAAGCAAUCGAAGCACUAUUAAUAGUGUGACGGUGUGCCUGUUGAAGAAUGAGCCGGCGAGUUGCCGUGUGCAGUUUGGUUAAGGAGUUAAUAUCCGAAGCCCAAGGGAAACCGAGUCUGAUAAGGGCGAUUAUUGAUUGCAUGCGGUAGACCCGAACCCGGGUGAUCUAGGCAUGGCCAGGUUGAAGCGCAUGUAACAGUGCGUAGAGGACCGAACCGACUGAUGUUGAAAAAUCAGCGGAUGAGCUGUGUUUAGGGGUGAAAUGCCAAUCGAACCCGGAGCUAGCUGGUUCUCCCCGAAAUGCGUUUAGGCACAGCGUCGGAUGUAUCCUGUGGGGGGUAGAGCACUAAUUCGGUGCGGGCGGAGAAAAUCCGUACCAAAUCGAAAUAAACUCCGAAUACCCAUAGUGUAAUUAUCCGGCAGUGAGACAGUGAGAGAUAAGUUCCAUUGUCAAGAGGGAAACAGCCCAGACCGCCAACUAAGGACCCAAAAUAUAUGCUAAGUGAUUAAGGAGGUGGAGUUGCAUAGACAACCAGGAUGUUGGCUUAGAAGCAGCCACCAUUAAAAGAAAGCGUAAUAGCUCACUGGUCAAGCGACUUUGCGCCGAAAACGUAAGGGGCUAAGCAUAUUUCCGAAAUUGCGGGAGAGUAUUUAUACUCUCGGUAGGGGAGCGUUGUGUAGUAGGCAGAAGCGAGAGCGUAAGCACUCGUGGACGAAACACAAGUGAGAAUGUCGGCUUAAGUAGCGAAAACAUUGGUGAGAAUCCAAUGCACCGAAAGACUAAGGGUUCCUGCACAAGGCUCGUCCUUGCAGGGUUAGGCGGGAGCUAAGGCGAGGCCGAAAGGCGUAGUCGAUGCACAGCAGGUUAAUAUUCCUGUCCCACCUGUUAAUCGUUAGGAGCUAAGUCGGGACACAGGAGGCUAUGCGAAGGGGACGCUAUUGGAUGUCCCUCCAAAGAUGUAGCUAGUCAGAGUAGGCAAAUCCGCUCUGGCGUUUUAACGUAAGAUCGAGUAAGAAAGGUUCCACGGAACCAAUUUCGUAGACGCCACGCUGUCAAGAAAAGCGGCGAAAGCCAGAUUAACGGGUGCUCGUACCCGAAACCGACACAGGUAGUCAGGUAGAGAAUACCAAGGUGCGCGAGACAACUCUCUCUAAGGAACUCGGCAAAUUGACCUCGUAACUUUGGAAGAAGAGGUGCCAUGAUAGGGUGUAGCAAUUUACUUGCGAAGCCUGAGAUGGUUGCAAAAUCCAGGCCCAGGCGACUGUUUAACAAAAACACAGGUCUCUGCAAACCCGUAAGGGGAAGUAUAGGGGCUGACGCCUGCCCAGUGCUGGAAGGUUAAGUGGAGUGGUUAGCGCAAGCGAAGCUACGAAACAAAGCCCCAGUGAACGGCGGCCGUAACUAUAACGGUCCUAAGGUAGCGAAAUUCCUUGUCGGGUAAGUUCCGACCCGCACGAAAGGCGUAACGAUCUGGGCGCUGUCUCGGAGAGAGGCUCGGCGAAAUAGGAGUGACUGUGAAGAUACGGUCUAGGCAUGCCAGGACAGAAAGACCCUAUUGAGCUUCACUGUAGGCUGAAAUUGUCCGCGGGUUAUAUUUGCGCAGGAUAGGUGGGAGACUUUGAAACGAGGAUCUUGGUUCUCGUGGAGUCGACGUUGAGAUACCACUCUAAUGUAGCUAGCGUACUAACCUUGUUCCAUGAAUCUGGGCAGGGAACAGUUUCAGUUGGGCAGUUUGACUGGGGCGGUCGCCUCCUAAACAGUAACGGAGGCGCUCAAAGGUUACCUCAGGCUGGUCGGAAAUCAGCCUUCGAGUGCAAAGGCAUAAGGUAGCUUGACUGCAAGAGAGACAUCUCGCGCAGGUACGAAAGUAGGACUUAGUGAUCCCACGGUUCCUCAUGGAAGGGCCGUUGCUCAACGGAUAAAAGUUACCAUAGGGAUAACAGGCUGAUCUCUCCCAAGAGUCCACAUCGACGGGGAGGUUUGGCACCUCGAUGUCGGCUCAUCGCAUCCUGGGGCGGUAGUACGUCCCAAGGGUUGGGCUGUUCGCCCAUUAAAGCGGUACGUGAGCUGGGUUCAGAACGUCGUGAGACAGUUCGGUCCAUAUCCGGCGUGAGCGCAAGAGUAUUGAGAGUGGCCUUUCUCUAGUACGAGAGGAUCGAGAAAGAUAUACCUCUGGUGUACCAGUUAUUCUGCCAAGGGUAAACGCUGGGUAGCUAAGUAUAGUUUGGAUAACCGCUGAAAGCAUCUAAGUGGGAAGCCGUCCUCAAGAUGAGUACUCUUAGGC